UACGGAGGAUGCAAGCGUUAUCCGGAAUGAUUGGGCGUAAAGCGUCCGCAGGUGGCUUUGUAAGUCUGCUGUUAAAGAGUGAGGCUCAACCUCAUAAGAGCAGUGGAAACUACAAGGCUAGAGUGCGUUCGGGGCAGAGGGAAUUCCUGGUGUAGCGGUGAAAUGCGUAGAGAUCAGGAAGAACACCGGUGGCGAAAGCGCUCUGCUAGGCCGUAACUGACACUGAGGGACGAAAGCUAGGGGAGCGAACAGG
rnacentral:rRNA from 1 species